rnacentral:rRNA from 1 species
UACGGGGGGAGCAAGCGUUGUUCGGAAUUACUGGGCGUAAAGGGCGCGUAGGCGGCCUGUUAAGUCGAACGUGAAAUCCCUGGGCUCAACCCAGGAACUGCGUCCGAUACUGGCAGGCUUGAAUUCGGGAGAGGGAUGCGGAAUUCCAGGUGUAGCGGUGAAAUGCGUAGAUAUCUGGAGGAACACCGGUGGCGAAGGCGGCAUCCUGGACCGAUAUUGACGCUGAGGCGCGAAAGCCAGGGGAGCAAACGGG